UACGUAGGGUGCAAGCGUUAAUCGGAAUUACUGGGCGUAAAGCGUGCGCAGGCGGUUGUGCAAGACAGAUGUGAAAUCCCCGGGCUUAACCUGGGAAUUGCAUUUGUGACUGCACGGCUAGAGUAUGGCAGGGGAGACUGGAAUUCCUGGUGUAGUGGUGAAAUGCGUAGAGAUCAGGAGGAACACCGGUGGCGAAGGCGGCCCACUGGGCUGUCACUGACGCUGAGGAGCGAAAGCGUGGGGAGCGAACAGG
rnacentral:rRNA from 1 species